GUGGAACGUCGGCGUGGCCUUCGUGUAGACCAGAUCCUUCUUUAAGAAACACUCCAGGAUCACCUGAAAGAGAUCACAGCCGACAAGUUGGGCCAGACCACCUCAAUAAUCAAACUCAGAAGAGAUCAGCUGAUUUCUGGGAAGGGAAGUGCAGAAGCCGUCGGCAGAGCAAAAUGUUGGCUUCAAACGCUGGAGCCAACCACAGAUACGGACAGCAGACCUGCAGUCCUCCAGCAGACCUCGACCAGGCGGAGAUCCUCUCUGCAGCUACUGGCCAUGAAAGCAAAGGACAACUGGGUGAGUCCUAAAGGUGCAUUCAGACUCCAUGUUAACCAUGAGGCGUCAGGCAGUCUCGAAAUGUCUGGAUUAAACAUACAGAGAGAGAAAGAAAGGAUGUGUCCCUGGUUCCUGAGGGACCAACAGGACCCCAACAGGACCCCAACAGGACCCUAACAGGACUGCAUCCUGUCUGACGUGUGAGUUACUAGAACAGAAGUUUGGUGUUUAAUCUCUUCAGCAGAUCACACACCACAACCGACUUUAAUACGAACAUCAUAAAAGCUGCAAUAAGGACACGUUCCAGUCAAACACACUCACACACAC